rnacentral:tRNA from 1 species
GGUGGGAUGUCCGAGUGGCUAAAGGAGGCAGACUGUAAAUCUGCUCGCGCAAGCGUACGUAGGUUCGAAUCCUACUCCCACCA